AUGUAGAACUCUCAUUCUUGGCCUGUUCUUGAUUCUGUGAUCAAAGGAAAAAUUCUCUGGAAACAGGAGGCUGACUGGUUCUCUGCCAUUUCCAAGGACCAUCAAAAACUGCAAAAACUUGACCUUAAGGAUGGCAAAGAGUAAAGGAAGCAAACUUGUGAACAUGGAAUUAAUGCCCUACUGAAAGCAGACGUGAAUAAAGAUUUUAACAAGACUCACCACCACCCCUGACGGCGUGAGCACCAUGGAGCAACCCAACUCAUCCCCUGGACCUUCUAAGGAGAAGACCCUGGAUUUCAGAGGCCAACCAGCCAUGUAGUGUCUAAGAGUGUGGCA